rnacentral:rRNA from 1 species
GACGAACGCUGGCGGCGUGCUUAACACAUGCAAGUCGAACGGAAAGGCCUGCUUUCCCUUGUGGAUUGCGGGUACUCGAGUGGCGAACGGGUGAGUAACACGUGAGUGAUCUGCCCCCAACUUGGGUAUAAGCCUGGGAAACUGGGUCUAAUUCCCGAUAGGACUGCAGGGUGGUGCCUGUGGUGGAAAACGAUUUUUUAGUGGUUGGGGAUGAGCUCGCGGCCUAUCAGCUUGUUGGUGGGGUAAUGGCCUACCAAGGCGGCGACGGGUAGCCGGCCUGAGAGGGUGGACGGCCACAUUGGGACUGAGAUACGGCCCAGACUCCUACGGGAGGCAGCAGUGGGGAAUAUUGCACAAUGGGCGGAAGCCUGAUGCAGCGACGCCGCGUGGGGGAUGACGGCCUUCGGGUUGUAAACUCCUUUCGACCGCGAGGAAGCCACCUGGUUGGAAGGGUGGUGACGGUAGUGGUAGAAGAAGCACCGGCUAACUACGUG